rnacentral:rRNA from 1 species
GCUUGACUGUAGCUUGUAAUUGGGUUCGGGCUUUUUUUGCGCAGCCUAGGUGGGAGGCAACGAUGAUUUUUUUCCGGAAAAAUUUGAGCCGUUAGUGAGAGACCACUCUGAAAAGGCUAGAAUCCUAAUAAUGAUCCUUGAAUCAGGACAUUUGACAGUUGCAGGUGGGCAGUUUUACUGGGGCGGUAUUCUCCUAAAAAGUAACGGAGGGGUGCAAAGGUUCCCUCAAGCUGGACGGAAAUCAGCUUAAGAGUGUAAAGGCAAAAGGGAGCUUGACUGCAAGACCUACAAGUCGAGCAGGGGCGAAAGCCGGCCUUAGUGAUCCGACGGUACCGACGUGGAGGGCCGUCGCUCAACGGAUAAAAGUUA